AACGAACGCUGGCGGCAUGCCUAACACAUGCAAGUCGAACGAGACCUUCGGGUCUAGUGGCGCACGGGUGCGUAACGCGUGGGAACCUGCCCUUAGGUUCGGAAUAACUCCCCGAAAGGGGUGCUAAUACCGGAUAAUGUCUUCGGACCAAAGAUUUAUCGCCUUUGGAUGGGCCCGCGUUGGAUUAGCUAGUUGGUAGGGUAAAAGCCUACCAAGGCGACGAUCCAUAGCUGGUCUGAGAGGAUGAUCAGCCACACUGGGACUGAGACACGGCCCAGACUCCUACGGGAGGCAGCGGUAGGGAAUAUUGGACAAUGGGCGAAAGCCUGAUCCAGCAAUGCCGCGUGAGUGAUGAAAGCCUUAGGGUUGUAAAGCUCUUUUACCCGGGAUGAUAAUGACAGUACCGGGAGAAUAAGCUCCGGCUAACUCCGUG
rnacentral:rRNA from 1 species